GUCAGGAUGGCCCAGGCUCACAUAGGUGCCCAACCCCAGCAGCCCAGGCCCUAAAUAAGGACCAGUGCAAGAGUGGGCCGUGGCCCCAAGGGGGCAAGCACACGUGAGAGCCUCAUUUCCAGACGAAGCCCCCUGCUUCUUCAUGAGCUUGCGUGAGGCUCCUGCAACGCUCUUUCUUCUGGAGGUGCCACGGUUUCAGUCACAGGGCCGCCUACCCUCCUCUGCCACGUCCCCCCCUCCACUCCAGAUUCCCAUCACACUGUCAGCCUCCACAUCCUGUCCCAGGGACCCUCCUCCGCAGCCAGCAGACUGGUGAGGACCUGCGUCCAUUCCACUCUGCUCUCGGAGGCUCCCUCCACAUUACCCAGCUGUGCUCGGCCUCCUGAGUCCAGGUCUCCACGUCGGGGAGGCUGGAGCCUCCUUGCCUCUCCGCCUCCCCAUGGGCCUGCCCCUCUGCUUCCACUGGGGCCUCAGGAUGCUCCUUUCUGCUGCCUGUCCUGUGACCCCUCCCCAACACAGCAAACUUUUCCACAUUUCUUUGUUAAAAUAAUUAAGCAUGAAUAUUAAGAACAUGUUUUUAUGUCAAGUGCGCUGUAAUGACAAUUGAUCAGGGGAGAAAGCUUAGCGCUCCUCUGAAUCCCAAGCUUCACAAAC
ensembl:lncRNA